UACGUAGGCAGCGAGCGUUGUUCGGAGUUACUGGGCGUAAAGCGUGCGUAGGCGGUGGACCAAGUCUGGUGUGAAAUCUCCCGGCUCAACCGGGAGGGUGCGCCGGAAACUGGUUCGCUGGAGUGCGGGAGAGGCAAGCGGAAUUCCAGGUGUAGCGGUGAAAUGCGUAGAUAUCUGGAGGAACACCCGUGGUGCAGACGGCUUGCUGGACCGUGACUGACGCUGAGGCACGAAAGCGUGGGUAGCAAACAGGAUUAGAAACCCCCGUAGUCC
rnacentral:rRNA from 1 species